rnacentral:rRNA from 2 species
GACGAACCGUGCGAACGUUAUUCGGAAUCACUGGGCUUAAAGCGCGUGUAGGCGGAAGGGCACGUCCGUUGCUGAAAUCCCCCGGCUCAACCGGGGAACGGGCGCGGAUACGACUCUUCUGGAGGGGCGUAGGGGGACCUGGAACUUCCGGUGGAGCGGUGAAAUGCGUUGAGAUCGGAAGGAACGCCCGUGGCGAAAGCGAGGUCCUGGACGCCUACUGACGCUGAGACGCGAAAGCCAGGGGAGCGAACGGG